AGCAGCCGCGGUAAUUCCAGCUCCAAUAGCGUAUAUUAAAGUUGUUGCAGUUAAAAAGCUCGUAGUUGAAUUUCGGGACCAAUAUGUCGGUCGUACUUUGUACGUACUAGCAUUAUUGGUUUCUCCCUUCUGAAGAACCGCGAUGUCAUUAAUUUGGUGUCGUGGGGAAUCAGGACUGUUACUUUGAAAAAAUUAGAGUGUUUAAAGCAGGCUCGCGCUUGAAUACAUUAGCAUGGAAUAAUGAAAUAGGACGUUUGAUUCUAUUUUGUGGUUUCUAGGAUCGACGUAAUGAUUAAUAGGGAUAGUUGGGGGCAUUAGUAUUCAAUUGUCAGAGGUGAAAUUCUUGGAUUUAUUGAAGACUAGCUACUGCGAAAGCAUUUGCCAAGGAUGUUUUCAUUAAUCAAGAACGAAAGUUAGGGGAUCGAAGACGAUCAGAUACCGUCGUAGUCUUAACAUAAACUAUGCCGACUAGGGAUCGGAUGAUGUUAAUUUUUAAUGACUCAUUCGCGCCUUACGGGAA
rnacentral:rRNA from 1 species